rnacentral:lncRNA from 1 species
CGACGCGGUCCGGGAGCGCACCCGCCGGUGACUUCUGCAUCUUGGUCUCCAGUCCCAGCCGCGAGGGAAGUUCCUGGGGCCGGCCGGGCGUAAGUGCUUUGUAAAAGAUCCCUAAUGUCAGCUUCAUCUUAAAGAGACUAAGACGUCUUCACCAACCUCCUCCCCUUCAGCCGUAUCCAUAACUCUGAUCACAUUUCUACAGUGUCAUCCUUCUCUCCUGAGCCCGGGUUAAAAAGGCAGCAGGUGUCAGAAGUAGUUACGGCUGAAGCUUAUCAUGCAAGUGGGUAUCUCAGGCUUGCUCUACUGGACUGACAGCAGAGAUGCCUCACCCGCUGCUUGGUGCACAGAUGCCAGCCUGUGGUUAUUGGAACCUGUCUGCCAGACCAAAGGGAGGAAAUCUGCCAGACAAGAUGUGGAACCUAAAAGCGGAACGUCACUAACUGCUGUGGGCAUCUCUGCCACUUCAUGACCCGUGGACUUUUGGGGAAGUAUUUUUGUGGCUCACCAGUCUCUCAUUAGGCAAGGGCCAGUUCUCCUGGGCUGGCCUUCUCUACUGGUGGAAAGUACAGCUGGGAGAUUUGGAAUGGUUGCUGUUUGACUCUGAUUCUUGGCCAUGAGCUUUUUUGGUAAGAUCCUGAGCUGAAAUUUGCUGUUGAGGAUUGCAGGAUUCCUUCUAAUCUUUGGGAAUGUUUUGAAUCAUAACUGGCAGUGGCUUUCCGAAGGCAACUUGAGCAAGCUCAGGGAAGAAGCCAUCACCCUCUCUCACAUGAAUGUGCCUUUGGGUAAAUCACCCUGAACCCCAGACCCAGAAAUGCCAUCUGCCUUUUUCCUGAGCCCUGAUUUAGAGUGUAAACCUUUUUCUUCUUUUUUACAUGAGUAGAUGUAUUGUUUUCUGCUUCCUCCUUCUCUUAAAGGGAUUUUUAAAGUCUCCUGUAAUUAAAAAACUUUUUAUUAUUGAAUAUUUUUUUAUUUUGAGAUAAUCAUAGAUUCAUGUGCCUUUGUACAAAAUGCUGCAGAAACAUCCCAUGUACCCUUGGUCCAGCACCAGGGAUGAACUUGGGUGUUUUCUGUCAACAUGAGACCAUGUGUUAGGUUUACCCAUGGUUUCAGGCUUUAUCACUCAGGAGGUACAUCAACAUUUAUUUUGAUAUCAAGUCUUGAUUUGUUUCAUAUUUCUUUAUUUUUCCAUUGGCAAAUUCUUUUUUGUUAAAUUAUAGUUGAUUUAUAAUGUGUUAGUUUCAGGUAUACAGCAAAGAGAUUCAGUGUGUAUAUGUAUGUGUUUCUCUCUCUAUAGUCUUUUUCAGAUUCUUUUCAUUAUAUGUUAUUAUAUGAUAUUGAUUAUAGCUCCUUGUGCUAUACAGUAGGACCCUGUUGUUUAUCUAUUUUUAAAAUAGUGGUGGGUAUCUGUUAAUCCCAAGCUCCAGAUUUAUCCCUUACCCCCUCCCGUUUAGUAACCAUAAGUUUGUUUU